GACGAACGCUGGCGGCGUGCUUAACACAUGCAAGUCGAACGGAAAGGCCCUGCUUUUGUGGGGUGCUCGAGUGGCGAACGGGUGAGUAACACGUGAGUAACCUGCCCUUGACUUUGGGAUAACUUCAGGAAACUGGGGCUAAUACCGGAUAGGAGCUCCUGCUGCAUGGUGGGGGUUGGAAAGUUUCGGCGGUUGGGGAUGGACUCGCGGCUUAUCAGCUUGUUGGUGGGGUAGUGGCUUACCAAGGCUUUGACGGGUAGCCGGCCUGAGAGGGUGACCGGCGACAUUGGGACUGAGAUACGGCCCAGAGUCCUACGGGAGGCAGCAGUGGGGAAUAUUGCACAAUGGGCGGAAGCCUGAUGCAGCAACGCCGCGUGCGGGAUGACGGCCUUCGGGUUGUAAACCGCUUUCGCCUGUGACGAAGCGUGAGUGACGGUAAUGGGUAAAGAAGCACCGGCUAACUACGUG
rnacentral:rRNA from 1 species